ensembl:tRNA
GGCCGUGUGGCCUAAUGGAUAAGGCGUCGGUCUCCUAAACCGAAGACUGCAGGUUCGAGUCCUGCCUCGGUCG